UACAGAGGUCCCAAGCGUUGUUCGGAUUCAUUGGGCGUAGAGGGUGCGUAGGCUGCGUCAUAAGUCGGAUGUGAAAUCCCGGGGCUCAACCCUGGAACUGCAUUCGAUACUGUGGUGCUAGAGGACUCUAGAGGAAAUUGGAAUUCACGGUGUAGCAGUGAAAUGCGUAGAUAUCGUGAGGAAGACCAGUGGCGAAGGCGGAUUUCUGGAGAGUUCCUGACGCUGAGGCACGAAGGCCAGGGGAGCAAACGGG
rnacentral:rRNA from 1 species